UACGGAGGGAGCUAGCGUUGUUCGGAAUUACUGGGCGUAAAGCGCACGUAGGCGGCUUUGUAAGUUAGAGGUGAAAGCCUGGGGCUCAACUCCAGAACUGCCUUUAAAACUGCAUCGCUUGAAUCCAGGAGAGGUGAGUGGAACUGCGAGUGUAGAGGUGAAAUUCGUAGAUAUUCGCAAGAACACCAGUGGCGAAGGCGGCUCACUGGCCCGAUACUGACGCUGAGGUGCGAAAGCGUGGGGAGCAAACAGG
rnacentral:rRNA from 1 species